UGGAUUAGGCAUGCGAGUCGCGCGAGAAUGUAGCAAUACAGGAAAGCGGCGAAAGGGAGAGGAAUAGGUGGGAAUCUGCCCCUGGAUCGGGGAUAGCGUCGGGAAACUGACGGUAAUACCCGAUAACGUCUUCGGACCAAAGGUGUGAUUCCGUCUGGGGAUGAGCCCACCUCCUAUUAGCUAGUUGUUAGGGUAAUGGCCUAACAAGGCAUUGAUGGGUAGCCGGUGUGAGAGCACGACCAGCCUCACUGGCACUGAGACACUGGCCAGACACCUACGGGUGGCUGCAGUCGAGAAUCUUCGGCAAUGGACGAAAGUCUGACCGAGCGACGCCGCGUGCGGGAUGAAGGCCUUCGGGUUGUAAACCGCUGUCGUAGGGGAUCAAAUGUAGGGGGGUACUCCCCCCUAUUCGAGAGAUCCUAGGAGGAAGGAGAGGCUAAGCUCGUGCCAGCAGCCGCGGUAAGACGAGCUCUCCAAACGUUAUUCGGUAUUACUGGGCUUAAAGAGUUCGUAGGCGGUCUUGUAGGUGAGGUGUGAAAGCCCUCGGCUUAACCGAGGAAUUGCGCUUCAAACCGCGAGGCUUGAGGGAGGUAGGGGUAUGCGGAACAGAUGGUGGAGCGGUGAAAUGCGUUGAUAUCAUCUGGAACACCGGUGGCGAAAGCGGCAUACUGGACCUUUUCUGACGCUGAGGAACGAAAGCUAG
rnacentral:rRNA from 1 species